UGCCCAUAAACUUCUAUCCCUACCUCCUCGUGGUACCGGCCGUAAACUACGAACAACCUUAUGGAAGAUCGGGUAACCAACCACGGUGGGAACUUUGGUCGUAGAUUGACAGGGAAGG
rnacentral:ribozyme from 1 species